AAUCCAUAGGUUAAUGAGGCGAACCGGGGGAACUGAAACAUCUAAGUACCCCGAGGAAAAGAAAUCAACCGAGAUUCCCCCAGUAGCGGCGAGCGAACGGGGAGGAGCCCAGAGCCUGAAUCAGCAUGUGUGUUAGUGGAAGCGUCUGGAAAGGCGCGCGAUACAGGGUGACAGCCCCGUACACAAAAGCGCAUGUGCUGUGAGCUCGAUGAGUAGGGCGGGACACGUGGUAUCCU
rnacentral:rRNA from 2 species